rnacentral:rRNA from 1 species
UACAGAGGUCCCGAGCGUUGUUCGGAUUUAUUGGGCGUAAAGGGUGCGUAGGCGGCGGAGUAAGUUGGGUGUGAAAUCCCGGGGCUCAACCUCGGAAUUGCAUUCAAUACUGCUUCGCUCGAGUACUGGAGAGGAGGCUGGAAUUUACGGUGUAGCAGUGAAAUGCGUAGAUAUCGUAAGGAAGGCCGGUGGCGAAAGCGAGCCUCUGGACAGGUACUGACGCUGAUGCACGAAGGCCAGGGGAGCAAACGGG